rnacentral:rRNA from 1 species
UGGGGAAUUUUGCACAAUGGGGGAAACCCUGAUGCAGCGACGCCGCGUGAUUUAGAAGGCCUUCGGGUUGUAAAAAUCUUUUCUAUGGGAAGACAAUGACAGUACCAUAGGAAUAAGUACCGGCUAAUUACGUGCCAUCAGCCGCGGUAAUACGUAAGGUCCGAGCGUUGUCCGGAAUCAUUGGGCGUAAAGGGUACGUAGGCGGGUAAGCAAGUUAGAAGUGAAAUCCUAUAGCUCAACUAUAGUAAGCUUUUAAAACUGCUCAUCUUGAGGUAUGGAAGGGAAAGUGGAAUUCCUAGUGUAGCGGUGAAAUGCGCAGAUAUUAGGAGGAAUACCGGUGGGGAAGGCGACUUUCUGGCCAUAACCUGACGCUGAGGUACGAAAGCGUGGGUAGCAAACAGG